AAGGAUUUAAGUUAAAAAAAACUAAUAACCUUCAAAGUUAUCAAUAAACCACCAAUUUAAGCCUUA
rnacentral:tRNA from 1 species